GAAUGAUAUCAGUCAGGUAGAUGGACUGGAUGGUUUGCGGAGACUGAAUGAGUUGAAUUGAAAUCGAAUUAAAUCUUUGAGUGAGAACUCAUUCUGUGGACAGAGAGUUCUGCUGUAUUUGCACCUGGCAGAGAAUCGCAAUCGUGAACUGAACCUACUUCAGCCUUUCACUAAACUCCAGAGACAUUAACAAAAUACAGGUGGCACGGCGAUUACUGCACAGACAAGCAGUGGUACUGCAUUUGUCUACACUGCAGGUUCUGGAUGGCAUGACAGUCACCCUUGAAGAAAGAACUAGAGCAGAGCUUUUAAAUAAUGAAGCACAGGUAGCUCAUGCUUACUAUCCAGAUCAAAUGAAUGGAUCAAAUAGAACUUAUACUGCAGAUACAAUUACCUUGUGCAUGUGUAUAGGGUUCUGCAGUAGUUUAGGAGGUGAAAUGACUUUACCCAGUUUGGUACCAUUGGUGACCCGACCAGCUCCUUUAAGAGAUUUUGAGAUAAGAAGCAAAAGGCAGUUGUCUCUCUGUUGCGUGGGGUUCACAGUGACAUCAACUUCAGGCAGAUCCAGCCACUACAUGACAGCCCUGCAGCAGAUCGGAUAUAGAGUUCUCUCCACUUUCCCUGACGCCGAUCCUGAGACCAGGUAGCAGUGUCACAGUGUACCCAGACCUUCUCCUCCUCUCUAAAGCAGAGUCAUAGACGCACUGUGUGAGUCGUGUAUUUUAGCUUUGGUCUUGUGUGUUGUUGUUCAUCUUUGGAUCUUAAAUAGGACAUCAAUGAACAGUUUGUUUAUUUAUUUGGAAUUGUGUCAGUGUCAAAGAUAUUACAUGUAUAUUUUCUAUUAAAUUCUAUUCAACUAUUCAAGAGUGGUGUCCUUUAUCUUAAGUCUUUGUUCAUGUAUCAUUUUCACUCUCUGUGAGGUUUGGUUUUAUUUUUAAUUGUAUUUGAUAGUUAUGAAGUCACUUCAAAUAUAAAAGUUCAUAAAAAACAUAUGUCAAAAACAUUUUUCUUGAAAACUGUAGUUGCU
ensembl:lncRNA